rnacentral:lncRNA from 1 species
UGCCAAGAGAUUUCAACACUCCUUCUGAUUGCCUUCUUUGCAGACUGAAUGAAGUUCAUGCCCUUCCAGACCUUCUGUUCAUGUCCCUCUGGAGAGCAGGAGUGGUUUUCAUAUCUUGAAGAUGUAGUGUUACUGUGGCAAUGGGCAAGUUGUUUUCCCAAUAUUUGCAUCUUCCCUCGAGUAACCUUGUGUUUUGGGCCAGCUUGAGCUCAGAGCCUUUCAUCCCUGACGGCAAGGAGGAAGAAAGGGGAUUUGUUUGGGACAAAGAAUCUUACUCAACACUUCCAGGAACUCAGAGAAAAACAUAAAGAAUUGAAUAAGCAUCUGACUAAGCAAUGUUACCUUGGAAACAAGAAACUAUGUUAAUUAAGAAGGAUAUCACUUGUCCAGGUAAAUAUAUAGAUGGGGUCCAUCUGUUUUCUGUUUCUUAGACUUCUGUGUUACUAAUAUCACCAUACAUUAAGCAGACAAGCAAGAGAAUUUCUGAAUUAAGGCUACUGAUCGACUGAUAUUAAC